rnacentral:tRNA from 1 species
UUGGUUGAAACCAAAAUAGAGGUAUAUUACUGUUAAUAAUAUAAUUGAAUAUAAUUCCAACCAAG